rnacentral:rRNA from 1 species
AGAGUUUGAUCCUGGCUCAGGAUGAACGCUAGCGGCAGGCUUAAUACAUGCAAGUCGAGGGGCAGCGCAGUGUAGCAAUACAUGGGCGGCGACCGGCAAACGGGUGCGGAACACGUACGCAACCUACCCAAAACUGGGGAAUAGCCCGGGGAAACCCGGAUUAAUACCUCGUAACCUAGUGGAGUGGCAUCACUUUAUUAGUAUAGCUCCGGCGGUUUUGGAUGGGCGUGCGCCUGAUUAGGUAGUUGGUGAGGGUAACGGCCCACCAAGCCUGCGAUCAGUAACUGGUGUGAGAGCACGACCAGUCACACGGGCACUGAGACACGGGCCCGACUCCUACGGGAGGCAGCAGUAAGGAAUAUUGGUCAAUGGACGCAAGUCUGAACCAGCCAUGCCGCGUGAAGGAUGAAGGUCCUCUGGAUUGUAAACUUCUUUUAUAUGGGACGAAACCCGGGAAUUCCUUCCCGAUUGACGGUACCAUAAGAAUAAGCACCGGCUAACUCCGUGCCAGCAGCCGCGGUAAUACGGAGGGUGCAAGCGUUAUCCGGAUUCACUGGGUUUAAAGGGUGCGUAGGAGGGUAGGUAAGUCAGUGGUGAAAUCUUCGAGCUUAACUCGGAAACUGCCGUUGAUACUAUCUAUCUUGAAUACCGUGGAGGUGAGCGGAAUAUGUCAUGUAGCGGUGAAAUGCUUAGAUAUGGCAUAGAACACCAAUUGCGAAGGCAGCUCGCUACACGAAUAUUGACUCUGAGGCACGAAAGCGUGGGGAUCAAACAGGAUUAGAUACCCUGGUAGUCCACGCCCUAAACGAUGGAUACUCGACAUACGCGAUACACAGUGUGUGUCUGAGCGAAAGCAUUAAGUAUCCCACCUGUGAAGUACGACCGCAAGGUUGAAACUCAAAUGAAUUGACGG